rnacentral:lncRNA from 1 species
GGGGUUUCGUUUUAUUUUGCAAUCCUAAUAUGGAUUAGGAGGUGUGAAAAGGGGCACUUAUCCAACAACAUUUUGAGAUCAAAUUAUAGAUACUGGUUUAUGUACUUUUGGUAGCUGGGUGCAGGAGACAUCUUUUGUGCCUACCCUUGAAACUUUGAUAAUAAAAAAGUGUAAAAUGGCACACAAACACUAACAAUAAACAGAGAUUGGGGAAUCGGCAAUUGUUGUUAAUU